GUCUCACUAGCAUGGUGGUUAGUGCACAACCCCCAAUAAGUUGUCGCGGGUUCGAAUCCCGCCUGAGAUG
rnacentral:tRNA from 1 species